UCUUUACAAGCUUUGUCAGCUCAUAUGUGGAGAUGCAUAACAAGGGUUCGAAAAUUCCCAGCUGAUCAUGUAACAAGUUGCAGAAUGGCGAUUAAUAACAGAGCAAGAUUGGAACCUCCAUUGCCAGAAAACUAUUUUGGGAAUUGCAUACAAACUGUUCGAAGGAAUGCCUCAGUGGGAAAACUUCUUGAAAAUAACCUUGGUUGGGCAGCUUGGGAAUUGCAUCAAGCUGUGGUGAAUCAUAAGAAUAAAGAAAUUCGUGAAUGGGUUGAAAAAUUGGAAUGUGGUGUGGUUUAUCAGUUGGGGAGCUUCUGUGAUCCUUGUAGUAUCGUGAUUGGGAGUUCACCACGAUUUGAUAUGUAUGGGAAUGAAUUUGGAUUUGGAAAAGGAGUGGCACUUAGAAGUGGAUAUGCACAUAAGUUUGAUGGGAAAGUGAGUUUAUAUGAAGGAAUUGAAGGUGAUGGUAGCAUGGAUUUGGAAGUGUGCCUUUUACCUGAGGAAUUGCCUCAGCGGGAAAACUUCUUGAAAACAGCCUUGGUUGGGCAGCUUGGGAAAUGCAUGAAGCUGUGGUGAAUCAUAAGAACAAAGAUAUUCGCGAAUGGGUUGAAAAAUUGGAAAGUGGUAUGAUUUAUCAGUUGGGAUUUUUCGAUCCUAGUAGCGUUAUGAUGGGAAGUUCUCCAAGAUUUGAUAUGUAUGGGAAUGAAUUUGGAUUGGGAAAAGGAGU
rnacentral:lncRNA from 1 species